AUUGAACGCUGGCGGCAUGCUUUACACAUGCAAGUCGAACGGCAGCGGGGAGGAGCUUGCUUCUCUGCCGGCGAGUGGCGAACGGGUGAGUAAUACAUCGGAACGUGUCGAGAAGAGGGGGAUAACCACCCGAAAGGGUGGCUAAUACCGCAUAAAUUCUGAGGAAGAAAGCUGGGGACCUAGGAAUAGGCCUAGCGCUUUUUGAGCGGCCGAUGUCGGAUUAGCUAGUUGGUGAGGUAAAGGCUCACCAAGGCGAAGAUCUGUAGCGGGUCUGAGAGGAUGAUCCGCCACACUGGGACUGAAACACGGCCCAGACUCCUACGGGAGGCAGCAGUGGGGAAUUUUGGACAAUGGGGGCAACCCUGAUCCAGCCAUGCCGCGUGUAUGAAGAAGGCCUUAGGGUUGUAAAGUACUUUUGUUAGGGAAGAAAAGUCAGCUGUGAAUAAUGGCUGAUACUGACGGUACCUAAAGAAUAAGCACCGGCUAACUACGUG
rnacentral:rRNA from 1 species